UACGGAGGGUGCGAGCGUUGUCCGGAAUCAUUGGGCGUAAAGGGCGCGUAGGUGGCCUGGUCAGCGUGCGGUGAAAGCUCGGGGCUCAACCCCGAGUCGGCCGUGCGAACUGCUGGGCUUGAGCACUGUAGAGGCAGGCGGAAUUCCGGGUGUAGCGGUGGAAUGCGUAGAGAUCCGGAAGAACACCAGUGGCGAAGGCGCUCUGCUAGGCCGUAACUGACACUGAGGGACGAAAGCUAGGGGAGCGAAUGGG
rnacentral:rRNA from 1 species